CACCGCCGUCACAUCACGAAAGUGGUUUGUACUAGAAGUCGCAAUUCUAACCGCAAGGAAGAUAGCGCCAAGGUAUGAAUCAUGAUUGGGGUG
rnacentral:rRNA from 1 species